rnacentral:lncRNA from 1 species
AUUUAGUUUUACAACUAUUUGUUUUACAUUAACAAAUUCAAACAGCUGGAUACUAGAACAGACUUCAUUCACCAAGUUAGUAUAUUGUUUAGAUUAUUAACAAAUGGUUAGAAGUCUUAAAAUCCACUUAUUUUCUAAUGACUUUUCAGUGUUACAAUGCAAAUAUAACUGUGAAGUUUUAUUUAAAGUUUAAACUUUUUGUUUUAAGACUUCUGGAAGUUUAUAUUCAUUUCUCCCAGAUUGCCUUUUAAGGCUACUGUACACUAUAGCCCAAAGAAAGCUGCCUUUCACCUCCUUAGUCUGAGAAAAAGCCCACACUUAAAGGCUUAUUCUGAAAUUAACUCUCGUUUCAGUAGUGAAAAUAUGCUAAAAAUCCUAUUUAUCAUUGAAUUAUUUUGGAAAGGCAUUGUUAAUCUUGUUUGCUUUUUAGAUACACAUAUAAAGUAGAGAAGCUGGCAAAUAAGGGCAAAAGUUUUAUACAUAUAUAAUGAAUAGCAUAAAACAAGUACAUAUUUAUGUGGAGAGAUCUAGGUCCCAGUAAUUUGCUGAUUUGACCUUAAAAUUCCCAGUUUAAGUGUACAAAUGAGAUUCAACUUGUGUUCUGUCUGGAAACUUCAUCAGUUGCCUCUGCGCUGGGUAACUAAGAAGUCAGUUCUUGGUGGCAGUCACUUUUUCAGAAAAACAGGGCACUUCCAAACUCAAAUCAUUCGGAAUCCCUGUAUAUAGACGUCUAGGACGGAGGGCAAGAAAAUUUAGACUGCAAGUCGGGAUAGGAAGGCGGGAAGUUGGGAUACGAAGGCGGGAAGUUGGGAUAGGAAGGCGGGGCAGUUUCGAGUCUUAGUCUUCUGUCCUGGGGGCAGCAAUCAGCACGGAAGAAAGGCAGGGACUGGCAGGGGGGGUGGGUGGGGCCCUCAUCGUAUUCUCAUUGGCCUUGUUGCUGCCUUGAGUUUUCAUUAGGGAGCAGGGGCUUGGUUUGACGCAAGGUAAACUCUUGAGGAAGAGCAGCAGCCCUUCUAGAUCGGAUUGUACCAGAUCUUAGCCUCAGUUUACAAGUGAAACAUAAUGUCCCACUCCAUUCUCUGUGGAGAGCCUGCUACUGAGCCUUUUUGUCCCUGGAGGCGCUGGGGUCUAUCCAGAGUCCUGAUUGCUACUGUUCGAGCCUGGAGGAGUUACUGCUUCUUCACACGUGUAUUUCUGUGCAGUUCAAAGUGCUUCAAAAGUUCCUGUGUCCCCUUCUCAAUAGACUUUGGGACAGGGGAAGGAGUGCAGAAAAAAUCAACACGGAAAGAGUACUACAGGGUACUAGAGGUUGCCUCCCAAAUAAGGGGAAGUUCUUUAUGGGGCCCAAAGUCUGGGUUUUUAUCUCUUGGUGUGGAGCCUUCCCUUCAGAGAGCCAUUUCAGGGACCACUGGACAUAGGUGGGUGGUUCUGAGACGGGUGCACAGGACAGCGCCUGUUUGCUCCUUGGUGGCCAGGUGCUUCUUGUUUCUUUUCAGUAGGAAGUCGCAAACUUCAGCCCAGGGCUGAAGUAGCUAAUGCUGAGUAGAAUGGGGCUCUUUCUAAGAGAAAAAGGAAGCUGUGAAUACCUAGCAGGCAAGUUUGUUCAGGAGGUGAAGAGAUAUGGUAAGGGGGGCUUUGAGGGUUCAGGAAUCAGCAAGGCUUAUUCCCUAGCCUGCUCUUGGUUUCUUGAUCGUUAGUCCACUCUUUUCUAGGAAGCUGGGCAAUCAUAUUCCCAGUUGUCCCUCGGGCUAAGAGUGAGGGAGGCAAGUCUCCUUACUUUUGGGGGAAGCGGGAGAUGCUCAAUGGGAAUAGAACCCACAAAUGGAAUAGGUAUACUUUUCUCAGGAUAGAGGCAACGAUCUGUGCUUGAGAAAGCCAGGGGCAGAGCUGUGUGAUCUGUGUCUCUCAGCUGCCUGUAGAAGGUGAUGGGGGAGAGAGUGGGCGCAUUGGCAGGGGGGGGUCCCCUGGAGAUAGGCCUUAGCUUUCCCCAGAGUGCCAGGGCUGCAGACUGCAGUGAGAGAGUACAAGCACUCAAUACCUAUCUGGAAAUAAGCCCUAGGUUAUACGUCAGGUCUAGUAAAAGAGAAAUCAGGUAUCUCUGAGCUCCUCUACUCCUGAGCCCCUAAUACCAGAGAAGAUCCUUUUUAGCUAUCACCGUCCAAAGACUCACUGGUUAAUUAAUGGUCAGCAACUUAGCUGUCUGCAUAAAAACCAGCGACCACUUAAUAUGUUACUUUUGGGAGUGGGAUCUCUCCUUGACACAAGUUUCUGGGAAGAGUAAAAGGGGCAAGCGAACCUGCUUUAAUGAAUCCCGUAAGGAACUGCGUUUCCCAGGAAAUUCCUGACAUUUUUAGCUCAUGAAUUUCCGAAAGCCUGCUUGGUUUUCUCCUCCAUUCUGGGUCCUUCCAGAAAGGAAGAAGAGUGGGCUAGGGUCUGAA